GGUCGCAAGACUGAAACUCAAAGGAAUUGACGGGGACCCGCACAAGCAGUGGAGUAUGUGGUUUAAUUCGAAGCAACGCGAAGAACCUUACCAGGUCUUGACAUCCCUCUGACCGGUCUAGAGAUAGGCCUUUCCUUCGGGACAGAGGAGACAGGUGGUGCAUGGUUGUCGUCAGCUCGUGUCGUGAGAUGUUGGGUUAAGUCCCGCAACGAGCGCAACCCUUAUGCUUAGUUGCCAGCAGGUCAAGCUGGGCAC
rnacentral:rRNA from 1 species